AAGAUGAGCGGUAAGACCGUUGCAGGUUCUUUCGGUGUUCCCUUCCAUAGGUAGGCAAAGCCGAGGGAUUACAAAUCUGCAGGGCACGCUCAUUUU
rnacentral:sRNA from 12 species